rnacentral:rRNA from 1 species
GACGAACCUUGCGAACGUUGUUCGGAAUCACUGGGCUUAAAGGGCGCGUAGGCGGGCUGACAAGUCUGGGGUGAAAUGCCGCGGCUCAACCGUGGAACUGCCUCAGAUACUGUCGGCCUCGAGGAAGGUAGGGGCAUGCGGAACUGUAGGUGGAGCGGUGAAAUGCGUUGAUAUCUACAGGAACUCCGGUGGCGAAAGCGGCGUGCUGGACCUUUUCUGACGCUGAGGCGCGAAAGCUAGGGGAGCAAACGGG